ACCACCGAAGCUGCGAAUUGAUACCAAUGGUAUCAGUGGUAGGGGAGCGUUCUAAGUGCAGUGAAGUCAGACCGGAAGGACUGGUGGAGCGCUUAGAAGUGAGAAUGCCGGUAUGAGUAGCGAAAGACGGGUGAGAAUCCCGUCCACCGAAUGCCUAAGGUUUCCUGAGGAAGGCUCGUCCGCUCAGGGUUAGUCAGGACCUAAGCCGAGGCCGACAGGCGUAGGCGAUGGACAACAGGUUGAUAUUCCUGUACCACCUCUUUAUCGUUUGAGCAAUGGAGGGACGCAGAAGGAUAGAAGAAGCGUGCGAUUGGUUGUGCACGUCCAAGCAGUUAGGCUGAUAAGUAGGCAAAUCCGCUUAUCGCGUAUGCUGAGCUGUGAUGGGGAAGCUCCUUAUGGAGCGAAGUCUUUGAUUCCCCGCUGCCAAGAAAAGCUUCUAGCGAGAUAAAAGGUGCCUGUACCGCAAACCGACACAGGUAGGCGAGGAGAGAAUCCUAAGGUGUGCGAGAGAACUCUGGUUAAGGAACUCGGCAAAAUGACCCCGUAACUUCGGGAGAAGGGGUGCUUUCUUAACGGAAAGCCGCAGUGAAUAGGCCCAAGCGACUGUUUAGCAAAAACACAGCUCUCUGCGAAGCCGUAAGGCGAAGUAUAGGGGGUGACACCUGCCCGGUGCUGGAAGGUUAAGGAGAGGGGUUAGCGUAAGCGAAGCUCUGAACUGAAGCCCCAGUAAA
rnacentral:rRNA from 1 species